rnacentral:rRNA from 1 species
AACGAACGCUGGCGGCGCGCCUAAUACAUGCAAGUCGAGCGAGAAGACGUAGCAAUACGUUUGUAAAGCGGCGAACGGGUGAGGAAUGCAUGGGUAACCUACCCUCGAGUGGGGAAUAACUAGCCGAAAGGUUAGCUAAUACCGCGUACGCUCCUUGGACUUCGGUUCAGGGAGGAAAGCGAUACCGUGGGUAUCGCGCUCUUGGAUGGGCUCAUGUCCUAUCAGCUUGUUGGUGAGGUAACGGCUCACCAAGGCUUCGACGGGUAGCUGGUCUGAGAGGACGAUCAGGGGGCCACACUGGCACUGCGACACGGGCC